rnacentral:misc_RNA from 1 species
GCUGAAUAAAUUUAAUUAAGAUCGCGUUCUUUUGUGGAACUUCGUAAUCCAGGCAUCAUAAACACAGCAAGUGAUUUCUCGGCUGAAAGUGCAGAUCUCCAGAUUUCUUUGCCAUGACCUCGAGCUCCUUUUGGUUCCUCUCUUGACCUUCAGGACUUUCACUCGACCAAAUCUUGCUCCAAGACUAUUUAUGAAGGAACCUUAUCCUCUGAUACUGCUUCGAGGAGAAUUUGUUCCAUAAUAAUCUCCUUUCUGGAGAAGUUACAAGCAAUGCUCCUCUCUCCAAUUAUGGACUAUCGGCCAGCAACGUUCACUACGUAGAGAAAUAUGCGAAAAAGUUUAUGAG